rnacentral:rRNA from 1 species
UGUGGUUUAAUUCGAUGACAACGCGAAAACCCUACCACCUUUGACAUGUACGGAACCUUUAGAGAUAGAGGGUGCUCGAAAGAGAGCCGUAACACAGGUGCUGCAUGGCUGUCGUCAGCUCGUGUCGUGAGAUGUUGGGUUAAGUCCCGCAACGAGCGCAACCCUUGUCAUUAGUUGCUACAUUCAGUUGGGCACUCUAAUGAGACUGCCGGUGACAAGCCGGAGGAAGGUGGGGAUGACGUCAAGUCCUCAUGGCCCUUAUAGUGGGGCUACACACGUCAUACAAUGGCUGGUACAAAGGGUUGCCAACCCGCGAGGGGGAGCCAAUCCCAUAAAGCCAGUCGUAGUCCGGAUCGUAGUCUGCAACUCGACUACGUGAAGUCGGAAUCGCUAGUAAUCGUGGAUCAGAAUGUCACGGUGAAUACGUUCCCGGGUCUU